CCUACGGGUGGCAGCAGUGGGGAAUAUUGCACAAUGGGGGAAACCCUGAUGCAGCGACGCCGCGUGAGUGAAGAAGGAUUUCGGUAUGUAAAGCUCUAUCAGUAGGGAAGAAAAUGACGGUACUUGAUUAAGAAGCCCCGGCUAACUACGUGCCAGCAGCCGCGGGAAUACGUAGGGGGCAAGCGUUAUACGGAUUUACUGGGUGUAAAGGGAGCGUAGACGGCAGCACAAGUCUGGAGUGAAAUGCCGGGGCUUAACCCCGGAACUGCUUUGGAAACUGUGCAGCUAGAGUGCAGGAGAGGUAAGUGGAAUUCCUAGUGUAGCGGUGAAAUGCGUAGAUAUUAGGAGGAACACCAGUGGCGAAGGCGGCUUACUGGACUGAAACUGACGUUGAGGCUCGAAAGCGUGGGGAGCAAACAGGAUUAGAUACCCCAGUAGUC
rnacentral:rRNA from 1 species